rnacentral:lncRNA from 1 species
AAAGUCGCCCACCGAAAUCCUGUGUGAUUCCAGGCUGGUUUCCUACCCCCUCUGAAUACUGCAUGCUCAUUUGUAAAAAUGAGGCCCUCUUUGCAGGGUGGGUGUGAGGAGUAAAUGAGAGUAAGCACUUAAGGCCCCAUGCCCAGCUCUCAACCCCAUGUCCGUUUCCUCUCCUGCCUCCAGGAAAGGCUCUCUCUUCUUUGCCAAGUCCCCCCCUCCAGCCUGUGCAUCACGUCAUGUCUUUAGUUUUCUUCUUCCUUCCCAGCGCACCCCACCCUCUGUCAGUAUCACAGCUACUGGCACUCGCAGCCAGGACAGAGAAGGAAGGGGCGAAGCCUUCAUUCAUUUUACAAUCUUUGAGCAGCCGCAGUUAACAUUUGGGAAGAAGCUGCAAUUACCAGCUCCUUGAGGAAUUCACUAGCCCUGGGAGGGGCAGUGCCUGCAGUGUCAGCAGGGCCCUAGAUGUGACAGCAUUGGAACAAAGACAAUAAAGGACACGGUUGACACAAAGACAACUCACAGUGGACUCCACGGGAGGGAAAUUUGCCUUUGUUAUGUUAAGCCACGGAGAUCGGGAGCUGGUUUACCACGGCAGUGCACUAGUGUGGGAACACAAGGAGAAGCAUGGCCACGUGGAUGGAGAGCUGAGCCUCAGCAUCAGUGUGGCGUCUGUGAGGUUCAUUCAUUCAUUUAUUCACUCAUUCGUUCCUUCAUAUAUCAACCAAUGGUUGUUGCACACCAGCUGUGUGUCAGGCCCAGCGCUGGGUGUGGACUCCCAGAGGUCAAACACUAGCCCUGCCCUCAUGGAGCACACAGUCGUCUGAGAAAGUGACGUGUCAAAGGAUAUGAUGAUAGAGAGUGAAGACUGCCAUGCAGAGGCUGGGUCUGCAGUGGGUAAACAGAGGAGGCGGUGAUGACUGGGGCAGAGGAAUCAGGGAGGGCUUCUCAGAGGAAGUGACAUUUGAGUGUGGUCUUGAUGGAGCUGUGGAAGAGUUCCCGCGCAGAGACAAUGGGAGUGGAUGUUCUGGGUAGUCUAGGAAGAGCAGAGAUGAAGGCACAUCUGGGCUUUGCCAAGAGUUCAGUCAGGCAAAAAAAAAUCCGAUUGAAAAAAUGGGCAAAGG